rnacentral:rRNA from 1 species
GUAACGAAUAUUCCGCAAUGGGCGCAAGCCUGACGGAGCAAUGCCGCGUGCAGGAUGAAGCCCCUCGGGGUGUAAACUGCUGUCAGGGGUAAGCAAUACCAUGAGCUACCCCAGAGGAAGAGGCGACUAACUCUGUGCCAGCAGUCGCGGUAAUACAGAGGCCUCGAGCGUUAAUCGGAGUCACUGGGCUUAAAGGGUGCGUAGGCGGCGCCGCAAGUGCUUUGUGAAAUCCCACGGCUUAACCGUGGAACCGCUUGGCAGACUGCGGUGCUUGAGGUCGGUAGAGGCUGCCGGAACUGUAGGUGGAGCGGUGAAAUGCGUAGAUAUCUACAGGAACGCCCAAGGCGAAGGCAAGCAGCUGGGCCGAUUCUGACGCUGAGGCACGAAAGCGUGGGGAGCAAACGGGAUUAGAAACCCUGGUAGUCC